GAGGAAAUUAGAGUGUUCACGGCAGGCAAACGCCUUGAAUACAUUAGCAUGGAAUAAUAAUAUAGGAUCUCGGUUCUAUUUUGUUGGUUUCUAGAGCUGAGGUAAUGAUUAAUAGGGAUAAUUGGGGGCAUUCGUAUUAACACGUCAGAGGUGGAAUUCUUGGAUUGUGUUACGACGAACUACUGCGAAAGCAUUUGCCAAGGAUGUUUUCAUUGAUCAAGAACGAAAGUUAGGGGAUCGAAGACGCUUAGAUACCGUCGUAGUCUUAACCAUAAACUAUGCCAACUAGAGAUUGGAGGUCGUUCUUUUUUUGACUCCUUCAGCACCUUAUGAGAAAUCAAAGUCUUUGGGUUCCGGGGGGAGUAUGGUCGCAAGGCUGAAACUUAAAGGAAUUGACGGAAGGGCACCACCAGGAGUGGA
rnacentral:rRNA from 1 species